rnacentral:piRNA from 1 species
UACUGAAGUCCUAGCCAAGGUUGGAUUAGC